AACGCUGGCGGCGUGCUUAACACAUGCAAGUCGAACGAUGAAGCCCUUCGGGGUGGAUUAGUGGCGAACGGGUGAGUAACACGUGGGCAAUCUGCCCUUCACUCUGGGACAAGCCCUGGAAACGGGGUCUAAUACCGGAUAACACUCUGUCCCGCAUGGGACGGGGUUAAAAGCUCCGGCGGUGAAGGAUGAGCCCGCGGCCUAUCAGCUUGUUGGUGGGGUGAUGGCCUACCAAGGCGACGACGGGUAGCCGGCCUGAGAGGGCGACCGGCCACACUGGGACUGAGACACGGCCCAGACUCCUACGGGAGGCAGCAGUGGGGAAUAUUGCACAAUGGGCGAAAGCCUGAUGCAGCGACGCCGCGUGAGGGAUGACGGCCUUCGGGUUGUAAACCUCUUUCAGCAGGGAAGAAGCGAAAGUGACGGUACCUGCAGAAGAAGCGCCGGCUAACUACGUGCCAGCAGCCGCGGUAAUACGUAGGGCGCAAGCGUUGUCCGGAAUUAUUGGGCGUAAAGAGCUCGUAGGCGGCUUGUCACGUCGGAUGUGAAAGCCCGGGGCUUAACCCCGGGUCUGCAUUCGAUACGGGCUAGCUAGAGUGUGGUAGGGGAGAUCGGAAUUCCUGGUGUAGCGGUGAAAUGCGCAGAUAUCAGGAGGAACACCGGUGGCGAAGGCGGAUCUCUGGGCCAUUACUGACGCUGAGGAGCGAAAGCGUGGGGAGCGAACAGGAUUAGA
rnacentral:rRNA from 1 species